AACAGAGGGUGCAAGCGUUAUCCGGAUUUAUUGGGCGUAAAGCGUUUCGUAGGCGCCAUGCCAAGUCACACUUCAAAUGCCAGAGCUUAACUUUGGGAAGGGGCGUGAUACUGGUGUGGUUGAAAUAUGUCGGGGUUAUCGGAACUCUCGGUGUAGGGGUGAAAUCCGUUGAUAUCGAGAGGAACACCAAGGGCGAAGGCAGAUAACUAGGCAUUUUUUGACGCUGAGGAACGACAGCUAGGGGA
rnacentral:rRNA from 1 species